rnacentral:rRNA from 1 species
GACGAACGCUGGCGGCGUGCUUAACACAUGCAAGUCGAACGGAAAGGCCCUGCUUUUGUGGGGUGCUCGAGUGGCGAACGGGUGAGUAACACGUGAGUAACCUGCCCUUGACUUUGGGAUAACUUCAGGAAACUGGGGCUAAUACCGGAUAGGAGCUCCUGCUGCAUGGUGGGGGUUGGAAAGUUUCGGCGGUUGGGGAUGGACUCGCGGCUUAUCAGCUUGUUGGUGGGGUAGUGGCUUACCAAGGCUUUGACGGGUAGCCGGCCUGAGAGGGUGACCGGCCACAUUGGGACUGCGAUACGGCCCAGACUCCUACGGUCGGCAGCAGUCGGGAAUAUUGCACAAUGGGCGGACGCCUGAUGCAGCAACGCCGCGUGCGGGAUGACGGCCUUCGGGUUGUAAACCGCUUUCGCCUGUGACGAAGCGUGAGUGACGGUAAUGGGUAAAGAAGCACCGGCUAACUACGUG